GUCGACGAUGAACCACUUCGGUGGGGAUUAGUGGCGAACGGGUGAGUAACACGUGGGCAAUCUGCCCUGCACUCUGGGACAAGCCCUGGAAACGGGGUCUAAUACCGGAUAUGAGCCUGGGAGGCAUCUCCCGGGUUGUAAAGCUCCGGCGGUGCAGGAUGAGCCCGCGGCCUAUCAGCUUGUUGGUGAGGUAACGGCUCACCAAGGCGACGACGGGUAGCCGGCCUGAGAGGGCGACCGGCCACACUGGGACUGAGACACGGCCCAGACUCCUACGGGAGGCAGCAGUGGGGAAUAUUGCACAAUGGGCGCAAGCCUGAUGCAGCGACGCCGCGUGAGGGAUGACGGCCUUCGGGUUGUAAACCUCUUUCAGCAGGGAAGAAGCGAGAGUGACGGUACCUGCAGAAGAAGCGCCGGCUAACUACGUGCCAGCAGCCGCGGUAAUACGUAGGGCGCAAGCGUUGUCCGGAAUUAUUGGGCGUAAAGAGCUCGUAGGCGGCUUGUCACGUCGGUUGUGAAAGCCCGGGGCUUAACCCCGGGUCUGCAGUCGAUACGGGCAGGCUAGAGUUCGGUAGGGGAGAUCGGAAUUCCUGGUGUAGCGGUGAAAUGCGCAGAUAUCAGGAGGAACACCGGUGGCGAAGGCGGAUCUCUGGGCCGAUACUGACGCUGAGGAGCGAA
rnacentral:rRNA from 1 species